rnacentral:lncRNA from 1 species
CAGCUGGGUUCAGUGUUCUGUUGUUGACCCUUGUUUGGGGUUCCUCUGGUUGGCUGGCUACCAUGCAUGUCGUGUGUUGCUUAUAUCAGAAGGUGAGGGUUCUGUGUGGUGUAGAUGCUGUCGGUUAGCCGGCCUUGCUUCUCACAAGGGGCGUUUCUGGGGAGAACGCUGGGGUCUGUGUGGGCUCAAGGAGGAUCCCGUCUCCCCUUAUGUUUCUGGUACAGGAUCAGAUGUGGCCGCCCAGCAGUUGUGCACAUAGGAGGAGAAGGGGCCAGGUGGGAAAAGGGAGCAAGAGGCAGGAAAGAGCACAGACUUCGACGUUCAGACCUGGGUUCCCGUCCAGUUCCAUUCCUUGCACAGGGUAAGUCCGUUUACUAAGCCUUGUCUUCCUCGUGCCACAGAUGAG